CGGUAGGUUCAUAUCAAGUAGGAUACACCCGUUCCCAUCUGAACACGGAAGUAAAGAUGCUAG
rnacentral:rRNA from 1 species